GUGCUGGCUUCGGCAGCACAUAUACUAAAACUGGAACAAUACAGAGAAGAUGAGCAUGGCCCUGCGCAAGGAUGACAUGCAAAUUCGUGAAGCAUUUCAUAUUUUU
ensembl:snRNA U6 U6 spliceosomal RNA